UCCCAACGCCAGAGGUACGAAUUGACUAACUAGCUUAGUCGCUUCUGACCAAGAAGAAGGGUUAAGUGAAAGCAAAGACCAAAACAUCCGAGGGCAUCUGAUGCAGCUAAAAGCCUAGGUAUCCUUUUAUAUUACGCAACGGCAUCUGAUGACACGAGAAGAAAACUCAAAGCACUCUUUUCCAUGUGAAUAUACAUAAUAGCAUCGAGGGAUCUGCUCUUAUUGCUAGCUCCUUUUUGCCUGGCUGGACGUAGCUUUAUGCUCUUGAAUUUUCCUAUCACUUCCUUUUGAAUAAACUAAUAAUCUCUUUUUUCGAUUCCGCUACGCGCCUCUAUGGCUAUUAAGGAUAAGGAGCUUUUAAGCCACUCUUAGGCUAUUGAGUGCACUACUAGAAGUGCAGCUUAAAUCAAUAGUUACCAACGAUUGCCUUAAAGUAAUCCUCCCUGCCAUGGAGAGAAGCUUCCAUUUCCACUCGUGAGACUGAUCGAAACUAGGAAUGACUAAGAUGACCAAGAUUGAGGACAAAAGGCCAGGGAAGGCGGCUAGCUGGUACUGAGUGCCUAUCAAUGAGAGCUAUCGGAUUGGCAUGGAAGAUAGAACAACGAAGGUAGCGGCAGAGAUCAAGGUGCGGAAGGAAUGCUUGCUGGCUAGCACUUUAUCUUAGACGUCUAUCUCACUCUUUCUUUCACAGUGCUUAUCUCGAUUCUUAAAAAACCUCUCCCGUACGGUCGAGUCAGCUUCGCUCCUUUAUUCGUACAUCUCUUUCUCGAAUGGAAAUAUCCCAAUAGUCAAGGUAGAAACUGCGAAGAAUAGCGUAGUAAUAAAGUAGCCAAGGGAGUAAAGUACCCAAAAGCAUGGUUACAUGGCCUACCCAGUAACAGAUUAAAAGAAGCAGGGAUAUCUAGCACAUGGAAUUCAAUAUUUGCAACCACUGGCCCUCACUCAACCCUCGACCGCUUCGUAGCGUCUUUCUAGGAAUUAAGGAAGAUUGAGGACAAAGAAAUUGUUGGAGUUAACUUAAUAUUUUUAUCUAGUAUCAACAUGCUUGAUGUUAAGAAAAGAUCUUUUGCAGGAAGGUUGGCUAGAGAUUUCUUGUAAAAACACUAGCCCCGCUCAGUUCAUAAUGAGAAUAUUUCACUCCCCUUUUUAUUCUAUGUUAUGUAUUAUUCUCAUUAUGAACAUAAGGGAGGAGCCGUAUGAGAUGAAAAUCUCACGUACGGUUCUGGAACGGAGAUUCUUUGAAUCGAAUGACGACCGUAAC
rnacentral:misc_RNA from 1 species